GCCGCCAUCUUGGCCAUCUUGAAAGGGGGGAACCGCCAACGUUUUUUAAAACUCAUGAAAACUGCUGCAAUAAAAGUUGAAGUACGUUGAUUUUAAAGAAAAUUAAACUGAAGCCAAGUCAGCAAACGAGCCAGAAGUUGUUUUGCCGGUUGACAGUCGCGCGACAAAGAUCCGCCCGGUUCCACUUUCAAGAAGAAGCGGUAAAAUGAGACGAUCGUCAUUUCCGUAUUUCCUAAACACUGCAUACAAAGAAUUCAUCACAGAAGAGGCUCAAUACAGAGGUCAGAGGAGGCAGCGAGCUUGUUGUUCUCCGGUGUUCCUACAAGAACCCCCCGGAACACUGCAGCACAGACUGAUCUAUACUCUGAAGGUCUGCGUGGUGAAAGCUGCUCCUCAGAUCUGCUGCGUCAGCUGUUUGUAAAACAUACAGCAUGAGCAUUUGUCUGCAAACCCACAGCAGGAGAAUCUCACCGGUGACUCUUAUGAAAAGGUCGAUAAUCAAUAACUGCUGCAGCCCUGCUCCAAUCACUGCUCUGAUCUGACUGGCUGCCACUCACUGAGAGACGGGAGAGAUUAAUAGAAGAAGAAACGAGAGUGUAAUGUAGAGUACAGAAGCAGAGGCACACAAAGCUGGAGCUGACCAAUCAGAAACAAAAGAUAAAGCCCAUCUGUUGAUUAGCAUCCCCUCAGAGAGACGCCUGAGAUCCAGACUGAGAAAGUGCCCUGUUCCCCUUUCAGAGAGCAGCCUGACCUGCAGCCUGCAGUUAAUAACGUGCACGGCUUUAUCUGCUGCUGCUGCUGAGGGCGCUUCAUCGCUCAGGAUCAGCUCACCCACAUCACACAAAACACACAGAUUUUAACCUCUGGUGUUAUUAAGACAUGAAGACGGUUACAUCUGAAGAUGUGUUUUAACAGAAACAAUAAGGACUGCUUCAAUACGAUAAGACAAAUUCCUUUAAGCGUCCUUGCUGCCAGCAGAAGACAAAAAGGUUUAUGAUAGAGGAGGAAACUACAGCAUGCCUGUUUUACCUUAGUUCACACCAUCAUUUGAACAGCAGGAGUUUGCUGGUUUAUCUGUCAUCUAAACUGGGAUCAGACAGAUUUCCACAUGCAGCGGAUCCGCUCGACCAAUCACAGCCGUUUAUCUGAUAAGGGGCAGGUUUGAUAAGAGACAUUUUCGUAAACAACCAAGAUGGCUGCCGCUCAUGUUUUCUCCACCAUCAGAACAAAUACGAGGACAUUAGAACACCUGCUGCUCUUCAGGUGUCGCAGAGAUUUGUUGGGAAAAAGUUUUUAAUAACCAACAAAGUUAAAGAGUUUUUUUUUUUUUCUUUUUAAUGCUUCACAGGUUUUACCCACCAAACCUGCAAAAACUGUAACGCUGGUAUUCAUUUUGGUGUUGCGCACAUACCAAGAAACUUUGGAACUGAUUGUCGCAAUUUAUUGCCGUUCUAUUUACACUCAGUCUGCAAUACGUUGGGAAAAUGUUAAACAUUACUCUUUAUUGUUAAGUCAAGUUCUUGAAAGAGAAUUAAAAUAAUCCAGGCUUUCCGGGGUGAACUGUCAAUAUAUUCUUUCCACGUCUAAGUGUAGAAAUGAAAAAGCUUUUAAAUCAUAUGACCUCCGUAAGCUUUACAAAACAUUUAUUUGAAUCUUUUUUGCUUUUGUUUUGGUUUUAUUUCCCCUUGACCUCCCCGGCUUCUUUGUGAUUCGUGUUUGUAGACUCAAUAGAUGUACAGAAGAUGUUGUUUACCUGCUUCAUGCUCGUGUUUAUGAAAAAACACCCGCACAUAAAGCUUUCGUUGAAGAUGUGA